GAUAAACGCUGGCGGCGUGCAUAAAACAUGCAAGUCGGACGGACACUUCGGUGUCAGUGGCGGACGGCUGAGUAACACGUAAGUGACCUGCCCUUUAGUGGGGAAUAACUGCUCGAAAGAGUGGCUAAUACCGCAUGAGCUCGGCCCUUCACUGGGACGAGGAAAGCAGCGAUGCGCUAGAGGAUGGGCUUGCGGCCGAUUAGCUAGUUGGUGGGGUAAAGGCCUACCAAGGCGAUGAUCGGUAGCUGGUCUGAGAGGAUGAUCAGCCAGACUGGGACUGCGACACGGCCCAGACUCCUACGGGAGGCAGCAGUUAGGAAUUUUGCGCAAUGGACGAAAGUCUGACGCAGCAACGCCGCGUGGAGGACGAAGGCCCUCGGGUCGUAAACUCCUUUUCUGGGGGAAGAUAGUGACGGUACCCUAGGAAUAAGCCCCGGCUAACUACGUGCCAGCAGCCGCGGUAAUACGUAGGGGGCGAGCGUUGUCCGGAUUUAUUGGGCGUAAAGAGCGCGUAGGCGGCUUGCCAAGUCGUGCGUGAAAUACCUCGGCUCAACCGAGGGGCGUCGUGCGAUACUGGUAGGCUUGAGGCCGGUAGGGGGAAGCGGAAUUCCCGGUGUAGUGGUGGAAUGCGUAGAUAUCGGGAGGAACACCAGUGGCGAAGGCGGCUUCCUGGACCGGUCCUGACGCUGAGGCGCGAAAGCGUGGGGAGCGAACUGAAUUAGAUACUCAGGUAGUCCACGCUGUAAACGAUGGGUGCUAGUGUCGGGGG
rnacentral:rRNA from 1 species